GACGAACGCUGGCGGCGUGCUUAACACAUGCAAGUCGAGCGGUAAGGCCCUUUCGGGGGUACACGAGCGGCGAACGGGUGAGUAACACGUGGGUGACCUGCCCUCAGCUCUGGGAUAAGCCUGGGAAACCGGGUCUAAUACCGGAUAUGACUCCAUGACGCAUGUUGUGGGGUGGAAAGCCUUGUGCGGCUGAGGAUGGGCCCGCGGCCUAUCAGCUUGUUGGUGGGGUGAUGGCCUACCAAGGCGACGACGGGUAGCCGGCCUGAGAGGGCGGCCGGCCACACUGGGACUGAGACACGGCCCAGACUCCUACGGGAGGCAGCAGUGGGGAAUCUUGCGCAAUGGGCGAAAGCCUGACGCAGCGACGCCGCGUGAGGGAUGACGGCC
rnacentral:rRNA from 1 species